rnacentral:sRNA from 1 species
ACAAAAAAGGUAAUAGUUUAUGCCACCUUAUGUUUUUAAUUUUAUUUUACAUUUAUUUAAGGGUUGGCUGAAUUUUCAGCCCUAUAAUCGUUGCAAUCUCAACAUUUCACCUCUAAAUUUUUUGUCUCUAAAAAAUCAUAAAUAAAACUACAUGUAUUUUCGGAUUUGUUCUUAAAACUAUGCCUCCAAUUGAACCGAUCAGUUAACCGAUAAUAUUUUAUCCGGUUUGACUUACAUAUAAUGUUGAUCAAAAUUCAUUCAUUUUGACUCUAUUUUAUUCCAAUUUUGACCCCAAAAACAAAUAUAAAAAA